GGACGCUGAGGAAGGACUCCGUCUCGUAGAUCUGGUGGCCGGCGACGGCGACGGCGCCGCCGCCUGCGCCGGAGUCGAGGAUGUCGCACAGAUCCAGGUUCCACGCCGCGGGCGGCGGCGGGGAGGGCUCGCCGGAAAGGGGGAGGUUGAUGUCCGGGGGCCGCCGCUGCGGGAGCAUCAUUUCCCGGUCGCCGUCGUCGAGGCCGAGAAGGGUGAAGGGCUGGUGGCUGUUCUCCAUGGAGAGCGUGGUGAGGAGGGGCUCUGCCAUCUCUCUCUUCCCUCUCCCCCUUCUUCCUCUACCUCCGCCUGCUCCGCGCUGCUAUCUCCUGCAACUCCCACCGCAGUCGACGGCGACAUCCCAGAGGAUGCACUCACAGGACCAUUCCAUGGAACCAAGAGGCAUCGAGGAGCCCGCCCCACCCCCUCCCACCCCCCCCCACCCUCCCCCGGAGGAG
rnacentral:lncRNA from 1 species